GAGGAAGGUGGGGAUGACGUCAAAUCAUCAUGCCCCUUAUGUCUUGGGCUUCACGCAUGCUACAAUGGCCGGUACAAAGGGCUGCGAUACCGCGAGGUGGAGCGAAUCCCAGAAAGCCGGUCUCAGUUCGGAUUGGGGUCUGCAACUCGACCCCAUGAAGUCGGAGUCGCUAGUAAUCGUAGAUCAGCAACGCUGCGGUGAAUACGUUCCCGGGCCUU
rnacentral:rRNA from 1 species